rnacentral:lncRNA from 10 species
CACACGGGGGGAAAAAAGCAACAGAUCAUAAAAAGUGCUCUGCAAAUACAAGGUGUUAUCCUUCAUCAGUGUUCCCAAAUUGAGAUGCUGCCUCAAACUCAGGGAUGAUAUGCUUCAAACUAAGGUUUGAAACUAAGGGAUUUUAAACUAAGGGUUUCAAACUAAAGGAUUUUACUCUUCCAAAUAUACAGCUGGACCUGGUGUGUCCUACAGAAUCUACAGAAUAUGAAAGAUCAUCCAGCAGAAACCCACUCCAUUAAAUGAAAAUCCUGGAGCAAUCAGAAGGAAAUUAAGAAAAGGUUGAGAGCAGCUGGGCACUGUUAAAAAAAUACUUUAAAGUUGUCCUCUAGUUUCCUGUUGGUGCCAUGAGCGUACAGUCAAUUGGGAGUAUUAUGGACAAGACUCUGGCCAUGUGAAGACAUUUAUUCACUCUGGAGAAUGCAACUACAAGGCGCCCUCUUGGAAAUGAAGAAGGUUUCUCAUCAGACACUAAUCUUGCUGGCACCUUGAUCUUGGACUUCUCAGCCUCCAGAACAAUGAAAAGU